rnacentral:rRNA from 1 species
AGUUUGAUUAUGGCUCAGAUUGAACGCUGGCGGGAUGCUUUACACAUGCAAGUCGAACGGCAGCACGACUUCGGUCUGGUGGCGGCGGCGAACGGGUGAGUAAUGUAUCGGAACGUGCCUAGUAGCGGGGGAUAACUACGCGAAAGCGGCUAAUACCGCAUAACCUUCGGGGGAAAGUGGGGGACCUUCGGGCCUCGCACUAUUAGAGCGGCCGAUAUCGGAUUAGCUAUUGGUGGGGCAACGGCUCACCAUGACGAUCCGUAGCUGGUUUGAGAGGACGACCAGCCACACUGGGACUGAGACACGGCCCAGACUCCUACGGAGGCGGCAGUGGGGAAUUUUGGACAAUGGGGAAACCCUGAUCCAGCCAUCCCAAGCGUGUGCGAUGAAGGCCUUCGGGUUGUAAAGCACUUUUGGCAGGAAAGAAACGGCACGGGAUAAUACCCCGUGCAACUGACGGUACCUGCAGAAUAAGCACCGGCUGGGCUACACGUGCCAGCAGCCGCGGUAAUACGUAGGGUGCAAGCGUUAAUCGGAAUUACUGGGCGUAAGCGUGUGCGCAGGCGGUUCGGAAAGAAAGAGGAAAUCCCAGAGCUUAACUUUUGGAACUGCAUUUUUAACUACCGAGCUAGAGUGUGUCAGAGGAGGUGGAAUUCGCGUGUAGCAGUGAAAUGCGUAGAUAUGCGGAGGAACACCGAUGGCGAAGGCAGCCUCCUGGGAUAACACUGACGCUCAUGCACGAAAGCGUGGGGAGCAAACAGGAUUAGAUACUCCUGGUAGUCCACGCCCUAAACGAUGUCAACUAGCUGUUGGGGCCUUCGCCUUGGUAGCGCAGCUAACGCGUGAAGUUGACCGCCUGGGGAGUACGGUCGCAAGAUUAAAACUCAAAGGAAUUCGACGGGGACCCGCACAAGCGGUGGAUGAUGUGGAUUAAAUCUGAUGCAACGCGAAAAACUCACUCUACCCUUGACAUGUCUGGAAUCCUGAAGAGAUUUGGGAGUGCUCGCAAGAGAACCGGAACACAGGUGCUGCAUGGCUGUCGUCAGCUCGUGUCGUGAGAUGUUGGGUUAAGUCCUGCAACGAGCGCAACCCUUGUCAUUAGUUGCUACGAAAGGGCACUCUAUCGUGAGACUGCCGGUGACAAACCGGAGGAAGGUGGGGAUGACGUCAAGUCCUCAUGGCCCUUAUGGGUAGGGCUUCACACGUCAUACAAUGGUCGGGACAGAGGGUCACCAACCCGCGAGGGGGAGCCAAUCCCAGAAACCUGAUCGUAGUCCGGAUCGCAGUCUGCAACUCGACUGCGUGAAGUCGGAAUCGCUAGUAAUCGCGUGAUCAGCAUGUCGCGGUGAAUACGUUCCCGGGUCUUGUACACACCGCCCGUCACACCAUGGGAGUGGGUUUUACCAGAAGUAGUUAGCCUAACCGUAAGGAGGGCGAUUACCACGGUAGGAUUCAUGACUGGGUGAAGUCGUAACAAGGUAA